AUGCAAACCUCAUUAAGAGGCACAGUAAUUGUUCUGUGAAUAUUGCCCAUUUUCCAAUUAUGUUCCUUUCCUCAUGCGGGGAGAAUGUGCCAUCAGAGAAAAAGCACUGGGUUGCCUUCAUCUGUUUUAAAAUAAGUGGUUGAGGGACUGGCUUUUGAUGGUGGCUUCUACAACCAGAAAGGACUCUUCAGCCAAGAACCAUUCUUAGUAAUCUGAUAGUGUGCAAAGUGCAAACAUCUGUCUAUCAACCCAGCCCAGGGACUCACACACCUGGGCUUGCCACUUCAGGGAAGAGACUGCCUGGCCAUGAGUUCUCAGCAGAGAAUUGUAGCAAGGAUCUGAACUCUGUCUUUCUGUGAACCACACCGGAAGGCAUGUAUGUAUUCACAUCCAUGCAGACGGCUCAGCAGAGCCCUGUGAGUGUGCAGUCUCAUGCAUCUGCAGAGAACCAGAAAGGGUUUGUGGGGAGAGUAAAAUCACGAGGAGAGGUGCCGUGGAAGUAAGAGAUUCAGCUGCUGAACCAUUUGCAGAUCAUCAUAAGUACUACUUAUGAGACUAUCAACUGUUCAUCACCUCCAAAAACACAGGCAACCCUCCUGAGUCCAAUUAUCUCCAAACUUUUCCUCUUUCGCAUUCAAUGUUGUCAUUAAAUAAGCAAACAAAGACAUGGCCUGGUGUUCUGAUGCCCACACUGUUUUUACAAAUAAAAAAGGUCUAAGAGUGAUGGGAACUCCAGGCCUGACUCAGCGAGCAACCUCUGUGGGCUGCGGGCGAAGAAAUGAAGAGCAAAAAUUCAUCCAUGAACAGGGCAGGACAGCAUCUGGAUUUUCAUGCUUGGUUUCAUCCUCCAUAAGCAGUCUGGCUUCCAGGUAGGGGACCCGUGGGGCAGACCCCACAACCUUCAUGGCUGCAUACCCAGCACGCUAUCCAUUGUUCUCCUGACAGCCAAGCCCAAUCCACUGCAGAAAAGAGUGUUUGGGUUGUUGCACAUCCAGAUAAGAAGGGACCACAGAGAGGUAACAGCAAAAGUCUAGAGCACAGAGCUGCUCGAACUGGACUCAGCUGCCUGGUGAAGUUGGGG
rnacentral:lncRNA from 10 species